rnacentral:rRNA from 1 species
AUGAACGCUGGCGGCGUGCUUAACACAUGCAAGUCGAACGAUGAACCUCACUUGUGGGGGGAUUAGUGGCGAACGGGUGAGUAACACGUGAGUAACCUGCCCUUAACUCUGGGAUAAGCCUGGGAAACUGGGUCUAAUACCGGAUAUGACUCCUCAUCGCAUGGUGGGGGGUGGAAAGCUUUAUUGUGGUUUUGGAUGGACUCGCGGCCUAUCAGCUUGUUGGUGAGGUAAUGGCUCACCAAGGCGACGACGGGUAGCCGGCCUGAGAGGGUGACCGGCCACACUGGGACUGAGACACGGCCCAGACUCCUACGGGAGGCAGCAGUGGGGAAUAUUGCACAAUGGGCGAAAGCCUGAUGCAGCGACGCCGCGUGAGGGAUGACGGCCUUCGGGUUGUAAACCUCUUUCAGUAGGGAAGAAGCGAAAGUGACGGUACCUGCAGAAGAAGCGCCGGCUAACUACGUGC